UUAGUACUCCCUCCGUCCAGAAAUACUUGUCGGAGGAAUGGAUGUAUCUAGUCGUAUUUUAGUUUUAGAUACAUCUGUUUUUAUCCAUUUCUGCGACAAGUAUUUCAGACGGAGGGAGUAAUAA
rnacentral:pre_miRNA from 1 species